UUCAAAUUGAUGAGGCUUUAUCACCACUUUCCGUUGUCCCACAAUUACAGUUGACUAAGUUCAAUUUAUCGGAACAAAAUUGCAUUUUGCCAUAUAUGAUACAUUUACAAUAAAUCAGUCAAGUGAGAGUUUGGCGAAAUGAAAGAAGAGAUUAAAUCAUCAAGACAAGUGAUAUACAUAAAUUUAUAAAUAAAAAAAAUGUCAGAUUAUAAUUUUUCAUAAACUAAAAAAUUACAAGAGACCUUCCAUUUCUCAUUCAGAGGUCAAUGUUGCGACAUGUCAAUUAGUACAUAAUAUAUGGGUCACAGAAGAUGGUUGUUUUUUGAUAAAUUAUUUAGCGAUGUGAAAGUUUAUGUAAUUUAGCAACAUAAUUUUCUGUUGAUUGCUAAAAAUUUUAAGCAUAUUAAUGUCAUAAUUAAGAAAGAUAAUUCGAAUAUGCCGGGUUGACCAUUGAUAAAGUGAUGUAUUGUGAAAGAAAGUUGUCUGGAACUUUAAAUUGAAAAAGCGCAAUACUCGUAUUU